UACGGAGGGUGCUAGCGUUGUUCGGAAUUACUGGGCGUAAAGCGUGCGCAGGCGGUGAUGUAAGACAGGUGUGAAAUCCCCGGGCUUAACCUGGGAACUGCAUUUGUGACUGCAUCGCUGGAGUGCGGCAGAGGGGGAUGGAAUUCCGCGUGUAGCAGUGAAAUGCGUAGAUAUGCGGAGGAACACCGAUGGCGAAGGCAAUCCCCUGGGCCUGCACUGACGCUCAUGCACGAAAGCGUGGGGAGCAAACAGG
rnacentral:rRNA from 1 species